rnacentral:rRNA from 1 species
UACGUAGGUGGCAAGCGUUGUCCGGAUUUACUGGGCGUAAAGGGAGCGUAGGCGGACCUUUAAGUGAGAUGUGAAAUACCCGAGCUCAACUUGGGUGCUGCAUUUCAAACUGGAGGUCUAGAGUGUCGGAGAGGUAAGUGGAAUUCCUAGUGUAGCGGUGAAAUGCGUAGAGAUUAGGAAGAACCCCGGUGGCGAAGGCGACUUACUGGACGAUAACUGACGCUGAGGCUCGAAAGCGUGGGGAGCAAACAGG